rnacentral:rRNA from 1 species
AUUGAACGCUGGCGGCAGGCCUAACACAUGCAAGUCGAACGCGUGGCGGAGGGGUGAGUAAUGUCUGGGAAACUGACCGAUGGAGGGGGGUAACUACUGGAAACGGUAGCUAAUACCGCAUACCAUCGGAUGUGCCCAGAUGGGAUUAGAUUGUAGGUGAGGUAACGGCUCACCUAGGCGACGAUCCCUCGCUGGUCUGAGAGGAUGACCAGCCACACUGGAACUGAGACACGGUCCAGACUCCUACGGGAGGCAGCAGUGGGGAAUAUUGGACAAUGGGCGAAAGCCUGAUCCAGCCAUGCCGCGUGUGUGAAGAAGGUCUUCGGAUUGUAAAGCACUUUAAGUGGGGAGGCGUUACCAACAGAAUAAGCACCGGCUAACUCCGUGCCAGCAGCCGCGGUAAUAC